UGAUAAUAGUACCUGCUUUGGCGGGGGGGGGGGGGGGUUGGGGGCGGUUGUUGGGAGGAUCGCCUGACUACCCAACAAAUACGAGCUGUGCUUGAACUUGAACUUGGAGCCAGGCAGGUGCCAGAAGAGCAAUUCUUUCCUGGACGUUUGGAAUCAGAAGUAGAUGAUGAGGCCGGCUGGUGCUAAGAGGAGGUAGGAGGGGACGUAGGUGGGCGGGGAGCCCUCCUCACACAGCCGGGGAGAGACGGGCAGAUGAGUGAGGUAUGUGUCCCGAGGGCACCGGGUAUGUGGCUGCCCUCUCCAGGGAUCGAGGCCAGCACCGGGCCGGGUGGGAUUGGGGUCUGAGGCGGGGGCCUGGAUGUGUCAGAAUUCCUCGGACCCUCGUGUCACAUCCAGGUUCCCCGGCCCUAGCAAAUCAGAGUCUCCAGGACAAGGGACGGGUGUGGGAGGCGGAGGGCUGAGUCUGUACUUGACAUGCGCCCAAGGCAGGCUGAUGAGCAGCAGUUGGAAGUCUGCAUGGCCGGAAACAUCUCAAGACCUGAAGCCGUGGCCUCAGAUUCCUGGGACUUUCAGUCUGGGCAGCUGGUUGUCAUGCCGUGGACUUGAAUCUGAAGAAACGUUUGUGCUGUGCGAGAGUCCUAUGUUUCUCUGAUUUUGAGCAAAUGAAAGCCAGCCCAGCGCUGGGAGUCGGUGCCUUCCCCAAAGAGGGGGCUGGCCCCAGUGCGUGGGGGAGGGGGUGACGGCCCAGGGCCUGCAAGCUGUCCCCUGGAGGCAUGGGGCGGGGCUGGCCAUUUCCCAGCUGCGGGCUCUCUCCCUGUGAAAUGGGGAGAGCAGCAUGACUGGGGGGGUCAGAUGAGAGGCUGUUCCCCACGGUGCCUGUGUGGGUCCACGCAGACUGGACGGGAGGCUCAGGACUCCCUUCCUCUGGGUCAGGAGUGUCUUGUGUCCCAUGGCCCUCUGGGUCCUCCUGAAGUUUGGCCCCAGUGGGGGUCCUAUAGGUCCUAUAGGUUCUGAGACCCCCCUGAGGAAGGAUGUCAUAGCAAGCAGCGCCCCCUUGGGCUCCAGCUCAGCCAGCGGCUUGGUAUAACUUGCCGACGGUGAAAUGCACAGAUUCCAAGCAUACAUUCUGAUUUCGAUUUGGCAGUUGUAAAUAUCUGCCCAACCACCACCCCCGGUCUGGAUCCGGAAGGUUUCCAGCACCCGGGAGAUUCCCUGGUGCCCUUUGCAGCGCCCCCCCCCCCCCCCCCCCCAUGCCGCAGGGGCAGCUCUGUCCUGACUUCUAUCACCACGGAUUAGUUUUGCCUGUUUGGGAACGUCCUAGAAAUGGAACCACACACCAUGUGGUCUUUUGUGUCUGAGCCUGAAGACUAACUUCUACAUCGAAUAAAAGAGAAGAGGGGA